GGGCAAGGUCAGACUUGGCUGCUCCCUCCCCCGCCCUGGGCUCCUGACUGUCUGAGCCUUGACCUGGAAGAGGGUGGCAGGAAGUUCACAGCUUGCCCUCCGGGUGAGCCAAGGAGGCCCAGGGAGGGGGCAGAACCAGCAGCGUCCUCACAAUUGUGUGACACUGAGCAAAGCCCCGCCCCUCCGGGCCUCAGUUUCUCAGGCCAGGUGGGUCAGCGCGGCGCUCCAGUCCAGCUCCGACCCAGGAGAAAUCCAGCGCGGGUUUUGCGGGUGCCCGGCGGCCACCAACACCUUCCUCCCUGGGCGUCCCGGCCGCGGCCCCGGGUCCGAGGGGUCCCGGGGAGACCUGUAGUGGGUCAAGCGGCCUUUGGGUUCCCCGGGAUGGGCUGAGGCUUAUCCCGGCCUUAGUGCCUAGCGCCUGGGGGUGCUGGGAAACCCCGCCCUGCUGCGUGCGCACCCCCAAUCAGCGCUCCCCAUCUAGCCGCCCAGCUGUGUGACUCCGGCUGUCCCUGCCCCUCUCUGGGCCUCGCUGGAGCCUAGCGGCUGGACUGAGGCUCUCAGGGGGGUCAACUGGGUCCAGCCCCCUUCCUGGAGCGUCCCAGCCUUGGUUUCCCCUACUCAGCCCCCCCCAGAACGGCAGCUGUUCCGGCGGCAGAUGCGCUGGCUAAAUCCGCCCAGCUGGUCCUUCCGCAGACCUAACCAACCUAGAGCCCGUGAGGGGGUGUGGAAACUGAGACCCAGAGAGAAACGACUUGGCCACUCACAUAGCCGGGAAAUAAAGCUGGAAUUUGAACCCCAAGCUUUAAAAAAUUUUUUAAUUAAAUUAAUUUCUUUCUUUAUGGCCAUGCUGGGUUUUUCUUAGAGCACAGGAGCUUUUCUCUAGUUGCCGCCAGUGGGGG
ensembl:lncRNA